GGUGGAGGUGGCGGUGGCGGACAUGGCGUCUCUGGGGUUGGAGUUGGCGGUGGUGGCGGGGUUACGACUGGUGGGGUUGGAGUUGGCGGUGGAGGAGAAGGCGUAGGGGAUGGAGUGUAUGGAGGUGGUGGCUUGAUGGUGGGCGGUUUUGGAGUGUAAGGUGGAGGGGAUGGAGUGUAUGGAGGUGGUGGCUUGACGGUGGGCGGUUUUGGAGUGUAAGGUGGAGGGGAUGGAGUGUACGGAGGUGGUGGCUUGACGGUGGGUGGUUUUGGAGUGUAAGGUGGAGGGCAUGGAGUGUACGGAGUUGGAGGCUUGACGGUGGGCGGCUUUGGGGUGUGAUGAGGUGGCUUGUCGGUGGGUGGUUUGGGAGUGUGAUGAGGUGGUUUAACGGUGGGUGGUUUUGGGGUAUGAUGAGGUGGUUUUGGGAUAUGAUGAGGUGGUUUAACGGUGGGUGGUUUUGGAGUGUGAUGAGGUGGUUUAACGGUGGGUGGUUUUGGAGUGUGAUGAGGUGGUUUGACGGUGGGUGGUUUUGGAGUGUGAUGAG
rnacentral:lncRNA from 1 species